GACGAACGCUGGCGGCGUGCUUAACACAUGCAAGUCGAGCGGUAAGGCCCUUUCGGGGGUACACGAGCGGCGAACGGGUGAGUAACACGUGGGUGACCUGCCUUUAGCUCUGGGAUAAGCCUGGGAAACUGGGUCUAAUACCGGAUAUGACUCCAUGAUGCAUGUUGUGGGGUGGAAAGCCUUGUGCGGCUGGAGAUGGGCCCGCGGCCUAUCAGCUUGUUGGUGGGGUGAUGGCCUACCAAGGCGACGACGGGUAGCCGGCCUGAGAGGGCGACCGGCCACACUGGGACUGAGACACGGCCCAGACUCCUACGGGAGGCAGCAGUGGGGAAUCUUGCGCAAUGGGCGAAAGCCUGACGCAGCGACGCCGCGUGAGGGAUGAC
rnacentral:rRNA from 1 species